rnacentral:lncRNA from 13 species
CUUGGGCUCAAGUGAUCUUCCUACUUUAAUCUCCUGAGGUUCUGGGAUUACAGGUGUGAACCAUCCCAACUUGUCGAUUAUUCUCAAUCUCUCUCAUAACCGCUGAUUUAGGAAGGGACCUUGAGUGCUUAUCUCACCAAUAUCUAGACCUGAAUCUACUGUAGUAGACAGUAGAGCAGUAGUCAGAAGUCUGGGAUCUACUUAGAAUUCUGUGCUUUACACACAGGACCAACAUGGCCAGGUCACUGUGUCUCUCAGAGACUCAGCUUCUCUGUUUGUGAAAGAACAUGUCUGCCUUGAGCAAAGUGGCUGUCAGAACUAGAUGCUCAUGACUGUGCUGACUUUGUGGGUUUACUCCCCCUCUUUUCUCUUUUGCUUAUAGUUUUCUGGUUGCAUUUCUCAACAGCAGAACAUGAUGCAAGAUUUUGUGAGGACAGCCACUUACCACAGAGCCAUCCUCCAGAAUCACAUUGACUUUAGAAACAAGGUCGGGCUUUGAAGGCUGAUCUUGUUUUCUGGAGGUGCCAUAACAAAUUACCACAAGUUAGUACAUUAAGGAAAUGUGUUCUCUCGUCGUUCUGAAGGCUAGAAGUCCAGAGUCAAGAUGUCUGGGGAACAUGCUCCCUCUGAAGGCUUUAGGGGAGGAGACUUCCUUACCUCUUCCUGGCUUCUGCUGGUUGCUGGCAGUCCGUGGUGCACCUUGGCUUAUAGAUGCAUUGUUCCAGUUGCUGCCUCUGUUGUUACAUGGCAUUCUCCCAGUACCUGUUUCUGUAUUGUUCUAGAUGUUGGUGUGGAUCAGGAAUCCUGUCAUUUUUUGCCAUACAGGCUGGAGCUAGGAGAGUUUAUACAGUUGAAGCCAGUUCAGUAGCAUAGUAUGUUGAGAUGCUAGUGAAAAACAAUCAUCUUUCAGACAAGAUCAUUGUUUUGCCAGGAAAAAAUUGAAGACAUCUCACUUCCUGAGGCUGUACAUGUGAUCACUUCCGAACCAAUGGGGUACAUGUUGUUCAGUGAAAGGAUGCUAAAGAGUUAUCUUCAUUCCAAAAAACGGCUAACAUCAAAUGGUAAAUAGGCCCACUCUUGGUUUAAAAACCAAGAUAACUUCUCUGUAAAGGUUUGCCACCUAUUUCCCCUACAACUGGUUCUGUGCAGAAAGGAGGAGAGAGCAUGUCUAUUACACUCAGUUGUUUGAUUUUCUAAUCUCAUUCUUCCAUAACAAAUUAACUAGUCUCUGGUCAUAAGAACUCAGGUAUGCUGUACAGUAUUCAACGUGGUAUAGAGAGCCAGGUCAGAAUUCUGUUUUUUGUCCUAGUUCAGUCCCUUCAUUCCUUAAUGAACUUGGGCUAACACUUGACCAUUUGGCUUUGGUUUCCUCAUCUGUAUAAAGACACUAUUACACAUAAUCUCUAAAGCCCUUUCAAGUGUUGGACUUCAUAAUGUGAGAAAAUCUCUAGGGUCCGCUUGUUCUUUUUGACAUAUUUUUUCCUACUGUAUUUUUCUCUCUAUGAUCACUAUACAUGGUCAAGAUAAUACUAAAUCCAAUAUGUUUUUAUGCUUUCCAAGCAAAUGCAUGUGCUAAGCAAUUUCAAUAAAUUAUUUUAUAAAAUCUGUAAAAAGUCUGAU